rnacentral:rRNA from 1 species
CCUACGGGAGGCAGCAGUGGGGAAUAUUGGACAAUGGGCGAAAGCCUGAUCCAGCAAUGCCGCGUGAGUGAUGAAGGCCUUAGGGUUGUAAAGCUCUUUUACCAGGGAUGAUAAUGACAGUACCUGGAGAAUAAGCUCCGGCUAACUCCGUGCCAGCAGCCGCGGUAAUACGGAGGGAGCUAGCGUUGUUCGGAAUUACUGGGCGUAAAGCGUACGUAGGCGGUUAUUCAAGUCAGAGGUGAAAGCCUGGAGCUCAACUCCAGAACUGCCUUUGAAACUAGAUAGCUAGAAUCUUGGAGAGGUGAGUGGAAUUCCGAGUGUAGAGGUGAAAUUCGUAGAUAUUCGGAAGAACACCAGUGGCGAAGGCGACUCACUGGACAAGUAUUGACGCUGAGGUACGAAAGCGUGGGGAGCAAACAGGAUUAGAUACCCUGGUAGUCCACGCCGUAAACGAUGAUAACUAGCUGUUCGGGCUCUACGAGCUUGAGUGGCGCNGCUACGACAUUAAGUUAUUCCGUCCGUCGGGAGGUACGGUCGGCGAAGAAUUAAAACGUUAAAAGGUAAAGUUAGUACGGCGUGAGACGUGCCGAACGGACGACGACGAGGGAGGUAGG